UCCCUUUCUUCCUAUUCUGCUACUUCAACGUUUCUCCUUUUCUCUUCUCUUGGUCAUUCUUCCCGGGUCUCUGGCCAACCCGAUUGUGCUCGUCUCCUCCUCUCUCGUCUCCACGCUUCUCUCCUCCCCGUUCCACCCCACCCUACCCCACACGAAGUUCUCUUUUCUCCCAAUUCCUCUCCGGGGGAAUACUUUUAGCAGCCAGUCCCUGGCCGGCGGGCUCUGAUUGGAUGCCUUACGAUAAGGCCCCGCCCAGCCCCGUGGCACGCGCAAAGAGGGUGGGGAGGAGCUUGAGGAGGGCGCGCGCGCGCUCCCGAGACCCAUUAGGCUGAGAGUGGCAGUUGCAGAGGUUUCGGGUUCGAGUGUCGGUGUCCCCCCCGAGGUCUCCGAGAUGAGGGACAGCUGUACAGAGCGAGGCUUCUGGGCUGGAUGGUGGCGGGGGACGAAGGUUCCUUUUUCUCCCCCAGCCCGCUUCUCUCGCGGUUAGCUUCUUGGGUGCCGGGAGGUGUCCCUGAGGAGGGUCAGGUUUGAUUUACAGCCUCCUCCAAGCGGUCCUGAAGCCAAAACCGUGUAGGGAGGACACCCUCCCACCCCCACCUCCUGCUGCCCGCCCGCCCUAGUAGCCCGGAUGUCUUUGCCCCCCGUGGUCGGGCUGCAGACUCGAUUAUCAGCCCCAGCGAGGAUCUUCUUAAAGAGACAGCACCACAUUUGUGGGCGACCCGGGCCUAGCCUCCCAGAGCCGAGAGAAACCCGAAGCUUACCCCCACCCCACUGCGCAAGGCCAUGCCGGGGCGGGAGGAGAGCCAAGCCGACGCAUGAGGCCCGGGGGCUUCGGUGAGGCUGUAGACCGAGGGGCCAGCUGGAGACUGACUGAGUCUUCCUCCUUCCACGGGCCAGAGAAAAAUGGCCAGUCCGCGAGCGGCGGCGGCCUGGGAUUGGCUGAGAGCCUCGUGAAUACAGGACAUUGUCUCAGUUUCAGUCCGGGUCGCAGCCCCCGCCGGCCCGGGCUCCAUUCUAACCCUGAGCAAGAUGGGCGAAGAGCUGGGGCAAGAGCCUGGCUGGCAUGUGUUGAUGUGGGUGUGAGCGCGUAUGUAUACGCUUAUAUGCGUGUCAGAGCAAUAUUCUAUCAGACUGACCACUCCUUGAAGAUGAGUUAUUAACAGUGCCAGAGUUUAAAAAAAUAAAUAAGGUAUUAGCAAAUUAAAAAGUGAGUUAAGCAUGCUCCAGCAAACCAAUAAAUAUUAAGCGCCUAUUGUGUGCAAGGCACACAAGUGCUAAGUGCUGGGGGUACAAGGAAAGGUACAAGUUCUCAAGGAGCUUUUCGAUUCAAAAGAUUCAGGGUUGGGAUGUUUUGUUUUUGUCACUCGACAUUACUGGGAAAAAGUGAAAGUUUUUCUCCCACAAAAUGGAGUUUAAUUUUGAACCAGAUUAAGAUGCCUCCAAAUUAGCACACUUUAGUAACAAAAGUAGACUCCUAAGAACCGAAGGAUUUGAAAGUCUAAAUUACUGACGUUUCUGUCUCUAUAGAGCCCCAAGGAGUGGAUUCAACUAAAAACUAAACCAAUAAGCUCAUUUCAAGGUUUAAAGUUUGCAAUUGAGAGUGUAAACCCAGGGAAGGACUUGCAGUAUAUGAUUGAAAAACACCUUCCACCCUUCCCCCCUUUACGGACUGAGAGUGAAGUUCAGAGAAGGUAGGUAGGAAAUAUAGCCAUGGUGUUUUUAAGAAAGCAGAUUUGGUAUGUACUACUUCAAUUUCAGUUCAAUUCAUCAGACAUUAAAUACCUACGAUGUGCAGAAUAUUGUUUUGGGUGCAAGACUAUAUGCUUUACUUACAUUCUCAUACUAAACUUUAUACAGACAUUGCAUGGGGUGCUUUAGCUAAGAUGUGAACCUAGAAAUAAAGUAUUUUGUGGGCAUUCCAACAGUCUCAUUGACUUGGAUGAUAUUUUUUCCUUAGGUAUUAUUAUUAAAAAAUGAUGGAAAAUACAAAUCCUGGAUGUUUUACAAAUUUACCCACUGAAAUUGAAUAAGGAACAAAGGAGGUUUGAAGGAGCAGAAGGAUCUCCUUUAAAAAAAAAAAAAGAAAGCAUACGGUUCAUUUAAGGACUCUACUUUCUAGGAAAUAAUUUGGGAGAAGAGAAAAAUAUUAGAAACCCUCAUUUGAUAUAAUAGGGGUUACCAAUGUGACAAAAUCUAAUAUUAACCUAUUUUAAAGCUUGUUAAAAAUUAUUUUGGAGGGAAGUUGGGUGAAGAGAUAGAAUGAAAUAUUAAACAAAAAUGACAAUUGUCUUCCCCACAAAGGAAUCAUCAUUGUGAUUCUGGUUUUCCUUUCAAGUGAUUCAGGAAUAGGUUAUGAUGAUUUAUAUGAAAAUGCCAAAAUUAGUCUUGAAGAUUUAAAGGUCAUUAUGUUCUUUGGUUUCAUGACAACUCAAUUAGUUUUACUUAGGACAGGGUUUUUUUUUUUUAAGCUAUUAAAAUUUAGUAAUUCAGUAGAGCAAAACGAAAACAGCUUAAGGAAAAAAGGUAACCAGCAAUGCAGAAUGUAAAUGAUUUUGCUGAUUCAGUUUUGCAAAAUUUCUACAGCUUAUUGAAAAUGGAAACUACAGAGUUGGACCAAUUGCACCUUCUCUCACUUGAUUAGCUACCUUUAAUCAUAUUUAUUUCACAUUAUAUAAUAGUUAUGUAAUAACAUUUUAAAACUGUGAUAAGCAAAACUUGCUUUGGAAUUUAGAAAUUAAUUAUCCUGUUGUCACAGCACCAUAUAUAAACAUUUCUGCAUUUGUACUGUCACUGGCAACUGACUUUUUUUUUUUAAACCCUUUCCUUCUGUCUUGAAAUUAAUACCGUGUAUUAGUUCCAAGGCAGAAGAGGGGUAAGGGCUAGGCAAUGGGGGUCAAGUGACUUGCCUAGGGUCACACAGCUAGGAAGUGUCUGAGGUCACAUUUGAACCCAAGACCUCCUGUCUCUGGGCCUGGCACUCAAUCCAGUGAGCUACUUAGCUGCCUCCAGGCAACUAAAUUUUAAUCUAAGUGCUUACUAUAAUUUAGAAUUUCCACUUUUAAAAAGUUUAAUAUCAAGAAUGCCAAAGUCAAGGAUCUUGGUCUUUAAUUAUGGAAGGGGUAAGCAACCUAUGGCAAAUGUGCCAUUGAAUGGCAGUUGUGGAUUUCUGCCACUCUCUGCCAUGUUUUUCCUUUUAGUCUUCUUUCCAUCAAUUAUAUUCAGUCAUAUCCUCCCCAUGUGAGGAUGCGUUUACACUCAGCCUCUAGACAGUUAAUAUUUGUGCCUCCUAUGUUCCUCUUUGUCCCAGAAGAUGGAGCUGAUCUAGAAAUGCCAGGGGAAUCAGAACAAUGACAUGAACUUGGGAUAAAGAAUAUCAAAAUGCCUUUGGGACUGUAUUGUUUCCUUGAUUAUUUCCUACUCCAGAUCUGCAGAUGCCAUUUCCCUGAUGGCACUAAAGGCUCUCUUUUGAGUUACCUUAAAAUCUUCAUGGAUAGAUUAUCCCAUUUCAUUUGUCAAUAUUGAUGUUCUGAUUUUUUUGGGGGGGGGUACUCUUUACCAUUUAGCUAUUCCGUGUAACACUACAAAAGAACAGUUAGCAAAUCUCAAACCAAUGAAAAGUAUUGCUUUUUUAAAUAGCCACUGCAUAGAUUAGGUAAGCAAAAAAUUAGAACCAAAGUGAAAUGUUUAGAGUUACUUACAAAUUUAAUUAAUUUCUGAUUUGUGGUUCCCAUUAUCACCGAUAACUGAAUUAACUAAAUCUAUGUGACAUUUGUGAUCAGAGGUCAAGACUGAGCUUUAUAAAUGAGCGUAUAAUGGGACUGCAUUCCUUAGCUUACAUUUAUACUUAAUACCACUUAAACUAGUAACACCCAGACACUUCUGGGAAUUAGUCUGUCCAGUCCCCACAGACAUGAAUAGAGAUAACCAUGUUGUUCCUCUUACUCCAUAGCAUUUGUAUUAAGAAAGAAAUUCCAGGAUUACAACUUCUUACUACUACCACUUAUAUACUUUCUAAUAUUCUAAGUUUCAAUGUCAAAAAUGUUCUAAAAGGAGGAAAUAUCAUUUCCGUGUGUAUGUGUGUAUGUUUAUGUAAGUCAAGAGGUAGUCCAGUCUAGUAGAUAGGAGCUGGCCUUAGAAUCAGGAAGGACCUGAAUUCAAGUCCAGCCCUGGCACAUCCUGGCUAUGAAAUCUUGGAUUGUCACUGCAUACUCAUCCAAUUCUAAAACAAUUCAAAGCAGGACUCAUCUGCAUUUGUGAAGUUUUCUCAUCUGGAAUUCUUUAUUCCAAUGUAUCAUAAAUCAGUACAAAAUAAAUCAUUAGCUGCUUACACAAUCUACUUCUUUUUCCUAAAUGCUUUAUUAUAUGUAGCUGUUAAAUAACAUUAAGCAUAAAAUUGGCCUUUUCAUGUACAAUAAAUGAAAAAUAAGAAAAUGGUAAUAUUUAUACAAAACUGGUUAGGGUUAUUUUCGUACCAAAUUAUUAGCAAUUCACAGAAUUUUUAGCAUCUUUUAGUAUAAUAGAAAAAAGUCAUGAUGUUUUAAUAUACCACAUCAAUCUGAAUGUAAUAAUAACUAGCAUUUCUAUAGUACCUAAUAUGUACCAGGCAUUGUGUUAAACACAUUAAAAUAUCUCAUUUGAUCCUCACAACAGCCUUGGAAGUAAGUGAUACUAUUACUCCUAUUUUAAAGUUGAGGAAACUGAGGCAAACAGGUUAAAGUGACUUAUCCAGGGUCACAUAGCUAUUAAGUAUCAGGUUAGUUUUUAAUUCAGAGCUUCCUGAUUCCAGGCCCAGUGCUCUAUUAAAACACCUAACUAGGCUGUGCACCUAAAAUGUAGAUUUUGGGGGGAAGAAAAACAAUGUAUAGUCAUGCAAUGAAAAAUAAUUACAGUGAGCACAAUUAAUUAUAGGUCACACUUUGGUUUUGUAUGAGUCAUAUUGGGAAAAAAGUGUGGCCAAUAGCUGAUGUCAGAAAGCAACUUUGUAACCAACUUGUAAUUAUACCAUAUGUGUAUGUGUAAAUACAUAUAAUUAUUUACUACAUAAUUGUGCAGAAAUAACCUGGGAAGGCCUAUGUCUGAAAUGGCUUAAUGGCCUUACAUUAAGGCUUGGAACCAUAAACACACACAUGCUUUAUAUCUUCUCAUUCAUUCUUUUCCUCAUUCAGUUUGAAAUGAUUCUUAAUCAAUAUAUUUCACAUUAACCAGCUGUGCCUCAUUUUAUACAGUAUCUUUCUGAAAAGGGAGGUAUGAAUUAACUUUUAGAAAUAAAAUUACUUUUAUAUAUAUUGGAAAUGCUACACAAAGGAACCCUAGAAUAAAUCCUGCUACACUAGGAUGUUUAAUAAAGUAAAUAAUGACCUAAGUAUCCUUUUGGUAAAUCUAGAUUUUCAUAGAUUAUGCUUGCUUAAAACAAUAUAACUGUUUGAUACUGUACUAUAGUAGACUAGAUUUAACUGAGAAUGACACAAUUUAACUUUCUAGAGUACGUAAGCCUUGUAAUAAAGAAAAUACUAGUUUUUUCUCUAGGCAAUUCUUCAGCCUAUAUGUUUUCAGUAGUUAAAGAACAGGGAAGACAAACUUCUGCUUUGUUCCUCUCUUCAUUUCUCUUAACUGUAGUAGGGAAAUGUGCUGUAAUUGGUUUUCCACAUUUGCCAAGAGUCUGUUUCCUCUUAACAUUCAACAUAUUUAACAGAAGGCUUGUAAUAGUUCCAAAAAUAAUAAAAAUGGUCCCAAGAAUAAAAAUGAUAAAUAUACAACACACUGGUUUUUGUCAUGGCUUUGGUUUUGUUAUGUUCCUUUAAUAAUUUUUAGUGCCAAAUCGUGUGGUAGAAAUAAAAAGGUUUUCCUCACAGUAAUAAAACUCAGUAAAGAAAUUUAAUCAGUUACUUUUAUAGUGGUGAAGGCUUAUCUACAUAGUAGGCAAUUACAAGACUGUUAAAGAGCAGUAGUAGUAUUCUAUAGUGUAGUCCUUUUUAGCUAAAUGUAAUGUUAUGAUUAAAUUUUAUACUGUAUAUUUAGGAAAAAAGAUGAAGCUUAUUAGGCUUAUAUAUUAGGCUUAUAUGGUAUUUCUUAGGCAUAUGGUUCCUUUUUAGCACAGUGUAGAGAAAGACUCCUAAAGCAGAUGUCAGAGAAUUUAGCAUAAAUCCCAGUUUUACUAGAGAUUACUUCAGUAACUUUGGUCAAAGUUCACUUCUCUGGGCCUCAGUUUGCUCAAGUGUAAAAUGAAUUGGUUUGACUAGACAAUCUUUGAGAUACUUGCCUGUUCUAAAUCUGUGACCCUAGACAUGAAAUGUUGAAAAUGUUUUCUUCAAAGUCUCCUUCCCUGAGUUUUGUCAAAUAGGAUUAAAAAAACCCAAACUCCUUACUUUCUAUCUUUGUAACAACUCUAAGACAGAAGGACAAGAGCAAGGCUAACAGGGUUAAGUGACUUGCCCAGGAUCACACGCAGGAAGUGUCUGAGGCCAAAAUUGAAUCCAGGUUCUUCUGACUCCAAGCCACCUACUGGAAUCAUAGGCUUUUUUAUUUUUUACUCCACUAUUAAAAUCCUAAACUCUCCCCGUGCCCCUCAAAAAAGGAUUUUAAAAGCACCCAAAAUUAUAAAUCUCAUAGUUUGAUUAUUGGUUGUUUGUAUAUUUAAGAAAUAGGAUGCUUUAACUAUGGUGGGGAAAAAUUAUUUUACAGUAGUUAAGGAUAAUUUGGGUACAGCAGCACUUUGGUGUGUUUAACCCUACUUAAGUUAGCUCAAUGAGCUGAGGAGCAAACUGUAAACAUUCAGGGACUGUUAAUUAACAUUCCUUUUAGCUCUUUGGCAUUCCCUGGCCAAGUCUACAGAGAAAGAUCUACACUUUUAAGGAAGAAUUUUUUUCUCAUAUUAUUCAGAUAACAAUACAACCCUUUAUGUUAACUGUGCAUAUUAUCUAGUGGGAUACUUCCAAAUUGGGGAUUCAAAUACGACUGAUUAAAGUUCUUAUUGAACAUUAAAGCUAACAAACUUCCUGGCUGACUUUUGGCUCCCUUGUUAUUACCAAACUAAUGGAUAGGCAAUUCAGAAAUAAAAUGGUCAUGUUUCCUUCUGCACAUACGUGCUAUGGAAAAUUUUCCUCAUGUUUCUCUCAAAUUGAAACUUUAUUUACCUCGAUUAGAUUAGCAUAAUUUCCCACAUUGCACAGCUACAAUGGAAAGUCAACAAAACAUACCCCUCAUAUAUAAAUAGCUAAAACUUUAAGUUCAACAUAAAAGCUUUUUUCAUGGGGUGAUUCACAAGUUCCCACAAGACCACCAUAUUUACCAUUUUGGUGAAAGAGGAUAAGAAACUAACAAUAUUGUGAGGCAAGUGGUAUUUCAAUUCAAGGGCACACUUUGAUCAAGAAAUUUGAUCUAAUGCAAGUUAUUUUAGAUUUUCUCAGGUAGGAAAAACAGAAAGCAAACUGUAAUGCAGAUCUGACACUAAAAAUAAAAAAUGAAAGUGCUUAUAAUGUACAAUGUCUAUUAAAGAUUUUAAUGUGUAGUAAUUGGGGUUGAGAGCAGCUAGGUGGCACAGUAAUAAAGUGCAGGGCUUGGAGUAAGGAAGAUUCAUUUUUCCAAGUUCAAAAUCUGGCCUCAGACACUAGCUGUGUGACCCUGGGCCUGUUACUUAAUCCUGUUUGCCUCAGUUUCCUCAUCUGUAAAAUGAGCCAGAGAAGGAAAUGGCAAAGCACUCUAUUAUUUUUGCAACAAAACCCCAAAUGGGUUUACAAAUAGUUCUGAAAUGACUGAACAGCAACAACAAUUGGGGUUUCAAUAGAAUAGUUUAAAGGAACUGUAUGUAGUUUUAUUUCUUUGGAACCAUACACUAACAAAGUAUUGCCUGUAGAGGUCUUUAGAUAAUUUAACUAAAUAAAACAUUUCUAAUUAGCAUUUUGUUAGUAUAUAAGGCGCUAGAGAAAUAUAUCCUGUUUAAAUAAGAUCCCAUUUAUACUAUAAGUGCAUAAACCCAAAGAAAUGUGGUUAUUAAAAACAAAACAAAUACAUGGAUAGGGGUGUGUGUGUGUGUAUGUGUGUGUGUGUGUGUGUGUGCACAUACACACCAUUAUUUGACUUCCAAAUGAGUGUUCUUCCUUUCAAAGCAGAUAGAAAAAGCAUUAAAUAGCUGUUUAACAAAUGUGCCAAGCAUUGUGCUAAGCUCCUGGAGAUUGAAGGUAAAGGCUGACCCAUGAUACAUCCUGAGGGUCUCAUUUUGGGAUAUCUUCCCUUUACAUUUGAGAGGAUUCACUGGAGACUCUCUCCCUGGGACGAUUUUAUUGUCUUUUCUAUUCUAUUGGAUAUUCUAUUCUUUUCUAUUCUACCUCACUGAGCAUGUUUUCUUCUAACAACCUGUUUAUUCUAGUGAGUUAGAAACACUAUUUUUAGGAUACACUAGAGGAGAAUUAACUCCUUUUUAAAAUUUUGGGCUUUAGUCAAAUUCUUCUGUUUCCUUAAGUCUCCCCCUCCCUCAACAUAACUUUUGCUUGUGUAAAUGCUUAUGUACUUCAGUAUAAGCAUUAUAGUUACUAGGAGAGGUAUGGAAUUUGCAUCCUAAAAUACUGGUGCCUGGUAGUUCCUCUAUAGAAUACUAUGGUAGCUCAUAAAUGUGAUCCCACCCCCUUUUAAGCAGACCUAGAAUGUUUGCCUUAUUGUGGCCUCGGUCCAUACAGCUUGUCUGAAAUCCUUAGGCAUUGCAAGGCCAAUGGAUAAAAUUUGCCCGCUGACUUAGAAAUCCCAAGUAAUCAACACUAAGUGUUUAAUCCCUUUUGGGACCACCAUAGCUCUUUGAGCAUGUUUUCUUUAAGUUAACCUACUUGUUCCAGUAAGUUGGAAACUCUACUUGAACUGGCUGAUGGUGGCAGAUCCGUUGGGAGGGAGACACUUCUGGUGCUCUUUGGUAAAGGAAUAUAGAGGGCAUUUUCUUUUUAUCCAAGGGAAUUGACCGUAUAUCGUUUAGGGAUCCAUGGAGAAAUUUUGGUGUGCCCUGUGUAGAAAAGUGACACCUAGAAAUUGUUUCUGAACUUCACUGGGAAAGCCUGAUAUGCUGAGGGAUCACGGGAGAGUUUUUGCUAAGGAUGAUUUGAUUUCUUUCCUAAAGGAUGAGGGAAUUACUUCCAAACCUAUGUCCAUAAUUUGUGUAGGGAGAGGUCUACUUGUAAGAUUUCUGUAGGGGUUAAGCUUUCCUUCUGAUAUAAGGAACUUUAUUUUAUUUCCCUUUUAAAAUUAGGCAAUGAUAAAAAACAACCCACCACCACCUAGUUAUUCCCUGGCCUCCUUUGCCCCCUGUCCCCCUGUGCUUCUGACUUUUUUUUUUUAAACCCUUACCUUCUGUCUUGGAGUCAAUACUGUGUAUUGGCUCCAAGGCAGAAGAAUGGUAAGGGCUAGGCAAUGGGGGUCAAGUGACUUGCCCAGGGUCACACAGCUGGGAAGUGUCUGAGGCCAAAUUUGAACCCAGGACCUCCCGUCUCUAGGCCUGGCUCUCAAUCCACUGAGCUACCCAGCUGCUCCCACUGACUUUCUUUACAGUUAACAUCAUGCCUUGCCUAUAGCUUAGUCUGUACUUUUACCCUGCACCUGAGGCCUCUUCAUCCUGGAACAUCCUUUUGACAUGCCAGACGUGUUAUCCCAUGGGUGAGUUCCUCCCAUUACCUCCUUUUUAGAGGAUGGGUUCAGGCCAGCCAACCUUCAUAUCCCUAUAAUCUGUGCUUCUGACUUUCAGGAUUUCAGUACCAACAACUCCUAUUCUCAUCUCAUCCCCUCCCCUCUCCCUCCCCCUCCUCUUUUCAGCUCUCUUUUGUGUGUGGUCACUGCUGCCCCACCCCCACUGGAAGGUAAGCCCAAACUACAGGAGGCCAGGGGCUUGGUUUUUGUUUGAAUUUGUUUUCCCAGCACCUACCACAGUGCCUGGAAUGGAGUGAGUGAACAAUGCUUGUUACCUACCUACUUGUGUGUGAGUCAAGAGUAGAGGGACCCCUUAGUGAGAAAAGGAGAGAGCUUAGUGGCCCACAAUAAUCCCAGGGCCAGUUCUGUUGUGGUACUUGGUAUCCAACAGGGCAGAACAGAGAGGCCCUUUCAUUGGAGCAGGUGCAGAUCCCAGCUCUCCUGACUCCCUAUGGAAGAUAUUGUAAUGCCCCGCUUUUCCUGGGAAGAUCUCAGUUGAAAUCCCAACCUUUCUGAGACUCAAUAUUCUCAUUGGUAAAAUGAGGAUAAAAAUGGCUGUAGUACCUAAUUUACAGGACUUCAUGAGAUAGUGUGUAUAAAGCUCUUUUCAAACUUUAAGUCACUAUUUUCACUAAAAUCAGUUCUCUUAAAUGGAUCCUUACUGCUACAUGGCAUUCACUUUAUAAUUCCCUUAUGAAAAGUCAACAUUUCCUCCAGCAGCCAUCCCAAAUCUAUCUUUUCUCUUGAACUUCCUUCUUUAUUCUUUACCUUUCCCUCUCAGCAGAGUUCUUUUCCAACUGAAAUUAGAGGCUGUCUGCCAUGUGUUCCUCUUACCUCAUGGCUCUCUACCCCUCUCAGUUUUACCUUAUGGUCCACUUUCUGAGGUGGCUCUUCUCAUGGCCAAGGUCAACUCUCCUACUCUUAUUGAUCCUUUCAUUUUCAUUUUCUCAAGUGAGCAUAGCACCUCCCUUGAGCAACCUGAAUGUUCUUUGUCAACUUGGAAUUCUCCUUAUGCACUGCUUCCUUCUACAAGACCAAAAACAUGCACAGAUGCUCAUCAACCUUUACACAUCUUUCCUUUGACCUUGCUGGCCUCCUGAGCUAUCAUUCUAUGUCAGUUCUCUCUUUCUCGGCCUAAUUCCUAGAAGGAGUUGACUGCACUGGUUGCCAACAUUUCCUCACUCCUAUUCACUUCUUAGUCUUUUACAGUCUGGUCUCUGACCCCAUCAUCAACUAUACCUUCUCUAAAGUUGUCAGUGAUCUCAACUGCUAAGAUGGUGGUGAGUCAUCGUAUUUGAACUCAAUGAAGCUUUUGUCACUAUUGACUACUUGGAGCCUCUGGCUUCCAAGACACCACUCUGUCAUGGAUGACCCCACAGGCAUCUGAUUCCCCUGAUGAAUCAUUGGUUGUCCACAUUUAAGCCUCUGUUCUGGUCAGUUUCCCUCCAUAAUUUCUUCUGAUAACCUCAUUUGGAUUCCAUGGACUCAAUUAUGAUCUCAACACAGAUGACUUGCAAAUUAUCUAUCCAAUCCUAAACUCCACUCAGAGCUCCAAACUCCUAUUGAGUCCGUAUAUGGACUUCAAUCAACUACUUGCUGGAUAUUACCAAUCCCAUUGCCAACUCAUACUCAUUAGGUUCAAAACAAUUCAUGAUCUCCCACUUAAAACCCCAUUGUCUCCAAAGUACUCUAUUUUUGCUGAGGGACCAGCACCAUUUCAGUUUUAUAGGUUUACAACCUUGGAAUCAUCUUUAACUCUCCUUCCUCAAACCUCCCUUCCCCCUGACCUCAUACAGUUAGCUGCCAAAUCUUAUCAAUUCUCUUACCACACUAUAUCUCAUAUCCAUUUUCUUCCCUCCAAUUACAUGACCACUAACCUAAUUUAGGCCUUUAUUACCAAGAAGUCAUGUCUGUUUCUAUUCAGCACUCCAUCCACUAGAACACACUGCCUGUAGUUGGAUAGACCGCCUAAAUUUGUAGAAAGUAAAAGGAUGAGAAAAUAAGACUCAAUGAACUAUAAUAAUAGUAGAAUUAGAGACUUUGCACAAAAAGAACAGCAGGUUCUACUACCUGACCCAGUUCUGAGUGGUCAUCAAGGCAAAGGCGUGGAUCAGAAAGGUAACAGAAAUAGGGAAAACAGAAAGUUCCCAAAGCAGUGGAAGGAGUAGAUGGGGAAAAAACAAAGGAAAAUGCAGAAGGUAAGGGAAAGAGGAAGCUCUGAAAAUGUUAAGAGUACUAUUUGUCAAUUUUCCUGUGAUAGUAGAGGAUAUUAAGGCCUAGAGAAAGAAAAAUCCUCUGCAGAGUCUGUGAAGGAGAAUAGAUCAUGGAACCAAUCAAAGGACAAUUUAUCUUUAGGACAAGGUUAAAAGAAGUCAACUAGAGGUCUCCUGCUGGGGUAGGAAUUACAUUGUGGAAAACAAAGUCACUGUGACUUUGAUAAAAAAAUUUUUAAGUGAUUGAGCUGACAGGGAUGAACAAAUAAUGAAGUAGGAAAUUUAAUGAUUUACUGUAUUUAAAUAAUUCUUUUACCUUUUGUAAUCUACUUAAAGGUCAAAAUAAUAAUGGAGGAAACUGAAGGUGUUGUAUUAAAUGUGGAAGAUAAAAAUUAACCCAGAGAAAGAAAAAUAGGGACAAAAUCUGACUAAAGCAAAAGUUAGAACCACAAAGUUUUCCCAAGGUUUAAGUAAAGAAAAAUGUACUAAAAUUAUUUCCCCUUAAGAUACUAUUAAAAACUGAACAUUUAGGAGGCAGCUAGGUGGAUUGAAAGCCAUGGCUAGAGAUGUGGGAGCUUGGUGUGUGGCAGUCCUGAGUUCAAAUCUGGUAUCAAAUAUUUCCUAACUGUGUGACCCUGGGCAAGUCACCCCCCCACACACACAACCCCCCCAUUGCCUAGCCCAUAUCAUUCUUCUGCCUUGGAGCCAAUACAGAGUAUUGAUUCAAAGUCGGCAGAUAAGGGUUUUUAAAAAAUGAAAUAUUUAGAGAUAAAAAUAACUUCUUGUAAGGCUAAAAGCAUAUCAGAUCUGAAUAAAAGCUACUUCCAAAACAAAUAGCAAUAUCACAUUUUUAUGCUAACAAUUCACUUUUUAAGGUUUUGACAGUUUUAAAUAUAAUUUUGGUGAAUAAAGAAGUAUCAAGUUUUUGACACAAGGCCUAUUAAAUUUUUAGAUUAAGAAAGGGUAAUAAGUGGGGGAAUACAGAAUUAGAGACACUUGACACUAAUAAAUACAAUAUAAAAUAUUUGCAAGAAUUUUAUUGCAAAGACCAGUGAUGAUAUGGCAAAAUGUCAUAUGGAGUCUCAAACCAUGUUAAAAUAAAGGCAAUCUUCUGAAAAACUCAAAAGAAAUAAUGAAAUGAGUUCAAAGAUAAGACAUUUGUCCUGUGAGCCUGAAUCAAGGAAAAUCCAGAGAUAAGAGUAGGGUAAAUAAACAUUUAGAUAGUAUCUACUCCGUGCCAACUACUGUGUUAAGCAGUUUACAAAUAUGAUUCCAUUUUUUGAUCCUCACAACAACCCUGAGUUAGGUGCUGUGGUUAUCCUCAUUUUAUAUUUGAAGAAAGUAAGGCAUAGGAUAAGCAAUUUACCCUGAGUCACACAGUUCAGUCUGGAUUUGAACCCAGGUCUUUUUCACUCUAGGACCAGUGAUCUAUAUAUACCAUCACUCAGCUGACUUAGAGCCAGACCCGAGUCUUGAAUCCUGCCUCAAUAACUACUUGUGUGAGGCCUGACAAGUACCUUCAGUUUCUUCUUCAGUAAACUAGAGGAAAUAAUAGCAGCAACUUGAUUAACUGCCUAUUGACAGGUACCCACUGGGAUCAAAUGAGAUAACAUACAUCAGCCACUUUGUACACAUAAAAGCAUUGUAUAAAUGUAAGGAAGCCAAGCGAUUCAUGUAGUUUUCUGGAUCAAACAUGGGCAAUGCACCUUGGGAUAAGAAAAUACGUUCUAUAUUUAAAAAACAUUAUGGCUCUUGAUUAAGGAAUACAAUAAAGAAAAUAGUGGUAUCAAAUAUCUUCAUUUUUUUCCUGACAUUAAAAUUCAAGGGUGAGAGGUUAACGAGGAAAAGCCUCCGGGAAAAGGUGGCACUUUAGCUGAGUCCUAAAGGAUGCCAAGAAAUAAAUUAGAUGGUUAGGGAAGUUCUAUCUCUGACAUUCUGUGAAUUGACUUCUUUCUGUUGUCAGUCUGUUGUUCAUGAUCUCUAUUGCUAUGUCUUGUUAUAGUCAUUUUUGGUACAUAUUUUUUCUUGUUCCAUGUCUUCAUGGGCUAGAAAACUGGGGUGCCAUCCUGGAAAUGACAUUUUGGGACUGCUACUAUGACCACAAGUAGGAUUUAGAACUUGAGUCCCUAGAAGGCAUUUAAUGUGACUCCCUCUUUUUACAAAACUUGAGGCCAUAAAUAGCUAAAUUGAUUUACCCAACAUCUCACAGAUCCAAAAUAGCAGAGCUGUUUUGAGAGAGACAGUUCAAAAGAUUUAGGAAGGCUGAUAGACUAGGGUUCAAACUGAAGAGGAUAGACUGGGAAAUCCUUGAGAGCAAGAACGGCUUUUUGCCUUUCUUUGUAACCAGAGCAUGUAAAAGUGCUAGAUACAAAGUAUGAAGUUGAAAAAUGUUGACCAAUCUCAAGGAUUUAUUUUUUUUAAUAGUAAAAAUAGAUAAUGGAUUGAAAAUUUAAAAGAGUUGAAUUUUUACUUACACAUCAUGCAUAUGCAUGUAAGCAAGAGGUAAAUGUGACACCUCUUAAAAUUCCAAGAUGAUUAAAAUUUCCAAACACCAGAUUUUGUUUUAUAGGAAUCAGCGACAGGCUGCCAUUCUAUUUAAAGAUGGUAGGAUCUAAGUCACUUGUACCUGCUAAGGUACAAGGUAAGCAAUUGGCUGGCAUUACUAAAACAGAUUGGCUUCAUCAGCAUUGUUUAUAACAGUUUACAAAGUGUUAAAAUCUGUGCUAAGACCUAAGAUAUUAGUUCUGUUUUUUAGAAAAUCCACAAAUUCUUCUGUCAUCAUAUUUCUAUAAAGCCAUCAAAUGCCAUGACUAAGUGGGCAAAAUGCCAAAGUCUUUUUCACACACACAAAAAAUACUUGCUCAUAACAUCUUUUGUCUUUUUGUAAAAUUUGAGCAUUAAGCCAGAGACAGGAUGAACUUGGGGUGUUUUUUUUUUCUUCUCAAGGAACUAUUGGUUCUCUAAAUAAACUCUCAUUACAAGUGUUGCUGCUGCUGUAUAGCUUUAGAUGUUGAGGCUGAAAAGAGUGUCAAGAUAUAUUCUUUUUUUUUAAACCCUUACCUUCUGUCUUGGAGCCAAUACACAGUAUUGACUCCAAGGCAUUAGAGUGGUAAGGGCUAGGCCAUGGGGGUCAAGUGACUUGCCCAGGGUCACAUAGCUGGGAAGUGUCUGAGGCCAGAUUUGAACCUAGGACCUCCCAUCUCUGGGUCUGACUCUCAAUCCACUGAGCUACCCAGCUGCCCCCUCAAGAUAUAUUCUUUCAGCACUCUGCUAUCAGAAAGGUUGAAUGAACCAAUGUUGCAUUGGUCCAACAACACUUUGGCUAUGAUUGUAUUUUAAGGGUAUUGAGAUCUACAUUCUCUUUUAAGGUUCCUGUCCUUUCUGCACUCUUCUAUCUUCUAUCCUAUACUUUUCCCUAGAGGUGGACUGAAGUUCAUAAGAUAGCUUCUAUACCCCUAUAAUGUAAUAUGGUUUCACAUGGGACUAACUAUAUAAAGCCAUGUAACUUCACUGUGGUACAUAAAGGCCUUGAUAAGGUUUUGGGCCAUUACAUAGAUCAGUCAACAAGAAUUAAUUAAGCACUAGGCACUGUGCUAAGCACUAGGGAUCCAAAGAAAAGUAAAAGACAGUCUUUGCUGUUACAGAGUGCAGUCUAAUAAACAUCAUGUAAACAAAUACAUACAAACAAGAAAUAAUGGGGAUGUUUCAGAUAUUUAACAAAGACUAGCUUUAAGGGGGAGUCAGUAACAGUUUCUUGUAGUAGGUGGGAUUUUACACCUAUCAGAUUGCCCAAUAUGGCAGCAAAGAAAAUUGACAAAUGUUGGAGAUGUGGCAAAGUUGGGACAUUAAUUCACUGCUGGUGGAGUUGUGAACUGGCCCAACCAUUGUGGAGGACAAUUUGGAACUAUGUGCAAAGGCCUAUAAAAUAGUGCCUACCCUUUGAUCCAGUAAUACCACUAUUAAGUCUGUAUCCCAGAGACUUACUUGUGCAAAAAUACUUAUAGCUGCUUUUUUUGUGGAGGCAAAGAAUUGGAAAUUAAAGGGAUGUUCAUCAAUUGGGGAAUGGCUGAACAAACUGUGGUAAAGGACGGUGAUGGAAUACUAUUGAGCUGUAGUAAAUUAUGAACAGGAAGAUUUCAGAAAGAGCUGGAAAGACCUUCAUUGAUUGAUGCAGAGAGAAAUAAACAGAAUGUUGUCUACCCCAUUCUCUAUUUACCCUCCUUUCCCCCAGCUCAGACUAGUUUUCUCUUGAAGAGAUAGCAGGCAUAAGGGAAUGUUCUAGUUUGCUGACAAAAUUCUUUAACAUAUUACUAAAAAAGAUGGCUAGCGAAUUUCUAAAAAAAAGGAAGCAGUGAUCAAAAAAAGUCUGCAUAGCUUGAUCAAAGACAGAUACUAAACUAACCUUGGUAGGAGAAAGCUAUAAUCUAACACUAUUUUAAUAAAGAAUUUGAAAAGGUUACUCAUAGUAUUCUUUUGGAAAAGGCAGGGAGAGAUGUUUUCUAAAGAGAUGUCAUUAACAGUUAUUGUCAACCUGAAAUGUCUCCAGUGGAGAAUAAGUCUAGGAAUUAUGCUUGGCCCCGUGUUAAAUUUUGUUUUAUCAUUUAUUUGGGCAAAAAAGCCUAAUUGGGAUACUUACCAAAUUUUUGGAUGCUGCAAAGACAGAAAGGAAAGCCAGUAUAGUGGUAUGUAAAAAAAGAUCAUGACAAUCUAGAAAACUGGGCCAAAUUUAUUGAUUGAAUUAUCAGUCUCUUAUUGGGUUAAAAAAAUUGAGCACAAAAAUUUAAAAAACAAGCAAGCAUAAGAUGGAGUAGCAUAGGGUAUGGUUAAACAACACAUUGUCUUGGGAAAGAUUUGGGGAUUUUUGUGGACUUUCAAGCCAAGUACGAUUAUUCAAAUAAGCACUAUAUUUGGAGUCAGGAAGACCCAAAUUCAAAACCAGCCCCAGAAAUUACCUAGAUGUAUGGCCAUGGUCACAGCCUUUAACCUGUUUGACAACGAAGAGGGAAAUACCAUCCUAGUUUCUUCCCCCCUAGAAAAACCCAUGGACAGAGGUUCACAGGGUUAUGGAAGAAAUGGAAACAACUGAAAUGACUGAAGAGCAACAUGAAUGCUGUUGAUGUCAUCUUGGGUUGUAUUACGUGGUACAGGUUCCAGUAAUAAGAUGAUGCUGAUGUUGUACUAUACAUGAGGCAGGCUACUUCUUACGGCUUUUGUUUAGUUCUGGGCACCAUAUUCCAGGUCUGUUAAGGGCCUCCAAUUCAAGGAAAUAGAUAAGUUCAACCUAGAGGAAAGUGGGGGUGGGAGGGGUAGGACAGACAUGAUAGCUUUCUUCUUGUAUUUGAAGGACUUUUAUGUGAAGACAAUUUAGAUUUGUUCUAUUUGGAUCCAGAGAGUGGAACUAGGAAUGGCGUUAGUUCAAGUUAUGUUCUUUGCACGUUUGGUGCCUUUUUCUAUAUUUCCUUGCUCUGUAAAAUAAGGGAUUUGUACCAGAUGGGCUCUGAAGUUUCUUUCAGCUCUAAAUGGAUCAUCUUAAAAAUAGUUGAAGUUUUGCCGUUUUAUCAAGUUUAAAUCUAUUCCUUUUCAUCUUUUCUCUUUCACUUAUUUUAUUCCUAUAACCUCAUUCUACAUGCCAGGCCUAUGAAUAUUUUGAAGUCAGAAACCAUACCAUAUAAUUCUUUGGGUCUUCUUCUCCAGGUUAAGCAUCCUCUAAUUCACUUUACAUGUCAUGGCCUUUUAUCCUGUCAUCAUCCUGUUCAUACCACUCUGGUCUUUGUUAUCUAUGUCUUUUUAUUGAUCACUGCCCUAUUUUUCCUCUUAAAAAGAAACAUUUGAGUUGCUACACAGUGUAUUCCUAUUAAAGGUAGAAAAGCAGUCUAUGUAAGCUUAUAAGUUAUCAUGAGGCUCUUUGAAUUAUCUUCUAAAUGAAUUUCUGCUAAAGCCCAGAGAAAAUGUUAAAGUUUCCCAUGUGAUUUCUAACACUUAAAAAAAAAAAGGUUUCAAACAAUGAUACAUGUAUUUAUCCAGUGGAAUUGAUUGCCAGCUCCAAGGGAGGAUGGGGGAAGGAAAAAACCACAAAUCAUGUAACCAUAGGGAAAAAAUUCUAGAAAUAAUUUAUUUUAAAAAAAUCACCCUUUAGGUGAUCCACUUUCACAUCCAUGAAAAUAUGCAAUGGCCUAUGAUUCCCUGGUCUAAAAACAAAAAC